GAGCCUGAUGCAAGGCUCGAACUCAUGAACCGCGAGAUCAUGACCUGACCCAAAGUCAGACGCUUAACUGACUGAGCCACCCAGGUGCCCCGAGGACAUUUAUUAAAGAGUAUUCUUGAGGGCAUCACCUGUGGAAGGAAAGAGAGCAGGAGAGAUCAGAUUGGAUUGUGAUGUAGGCUCAUUGAAGACUUCAGCUGACAUUAGGAGAGCCCCAAAAGUAGAACACUGCCGGGUUGCCUAAAGUUGGGAUGAGGGGCCAGGUCUUUACAGUUCAUCUCAGUCAGACACUGGAGUUUUGUUGCUUUGGAAGAGAGGUGUUUUGAGAGCAGAGUAGAAUGUGUGAAAAUGGAUACUUUUACUUACAAUUUAGCUUAUUGGGGAAAGGGGGAUAGAAUGGUUAGCUAGAGGACAAUGAGGGAUGCAUGGAGUAUUCUGUCUUCAGCAGAAGAAGCUCAGGCAUGGUCCUGUUGAGAUGGAGAAGCUUGGCGGGAUGGGUGCUUCUAGGGAGGAGGUUUUUCCAGAGGCACAGAUGUCUCCCCAUGAAAAUAAUCUAGUGUAAGCCCUGCCUUGUUUCUUGGUUGGGGUUUAAGUAUGAUACACGUAGACUUAACACUUUCAACUCUUUACUUAAAGGUGUUUUUCAACAUAUUUGCGAGAAAGCCCACCUCAGCAAGUAGAAUAAUGAAGGUCAAACAUAGAAGCCUGGGUCACAUGCUGGGCAUGAGCUAAAGGGGGGACAUGAGUUUGGCACAGGAUAUUAGGAACGAUCAUUUUAGGAUCUGGAAUGGUAUCUCACACUAACACAAAGGAUGUGACUAUUGAUUGAUCCAGAGCUAGAAUUUGUGCCUUUAUUCUAAGUAUUGGAAAUUUGCAUGGUAUAAUUAGAACUAGCAGGUAUGGUUGUUCCCAAGAAGAGAGGAUUCAAAACAUAGUAGCUACUGGGGAUGGCAAUAGAGAACUACAUUCAAUGUUAAGCUCUGUGGUUCAGCUUAUCAAUUAUCUGCUUAUACCUGGAAUUGAAAGGUGAGAAAAUAUGAAUUUUGAGCUUUUUGUGAUGAUAAUAUUCUAAAUAUGUUACUGUGCCAUUUCAUCACAAGGGAUUUUGCAGUUUCCACUUUCAAUCUGGGUGGCUAAUUCUGUUGUCCUCACAAAAACACAUUCAUAGAGGAAGACCUGUGAUAUGUUUGUUCAUUCAUUCAGCAAAUUUUUUUUUUAAUAUAUACUGUGGGAUUGGCACUUUGCUAGUAGCAAAGUAGAAACUGGUCAGACAAAAGGAUUCAGAACAGUCUUGCAGGCGAAGACAGACAAUGGUACAUGACAGAAAUAACUAAAUGAUUGCAUAUUUUUAUAAAUGCUUUAAAGGGAAUGAGAAACCAUGGAAGAGAAUCACAGAACAAGAGUGAUGUGGUAGGUGAGGGAACUCACUUUAGACAGAGUGAUUGGAAAGAUCUUUCCAAGGAGUUGACACUUUGGCUAAGACCUCAGGUUAAGAGAGAGAAGCUAGAAGAAAGAAGAAAGAGCAUUACAGGCAAAGGGAACAGCAUGCAUGAAGAUCCUAAGGCAAGACAGGGUUUGGUGGGUACAAGAGCCUGAAAGAUGCCCAGAAAGAUUAGAAAGGUUGCAGAGGAAACAUGUCAUAUCACCAGUAUCCAUAGGUAGCCACGUGGAAAGAAGCAUGAAUUUUAUUUUCAGUGUAAUGGGAAGCCGUCAAAGAGUUUAAGAGGAGACUCAGGACCUGAUCCACACUUAAGAAUUAUCUCCUGGCUGACUUAUGGGGAAGAAUUUUGGUGAGGGAAAGAGUGGAAACAGUAGUUUAUAGAAGAAAUAAUAAAAGUAUGGUGGGAAGACAAAUUCAUGGAUUAAGUCACAUUUUUGAGAAAAAUGAUUAAAAUAUUAAUGAAUUGAAUAGGAGAUGUUAUGGAGAGAAGUAAAUCUUGGAUGACUCUCAGAUUUCUGGAUUGAGCAUCUGGAUGGUUGCUGAUACCAUUUACCCAGAAGAAGAAAUUGGAAGAGAGUGGGGCGACUGAGGAUUCAGUUUUGAGCAUGUUGUGUUUGAGAUAUCUAUAAGCUAUUGAAGUGGCUAUUUCAGGGAGGUAAUGGGAUAUGUGUAUGUUUAAAGAUGAGGGCAGUGAUCUGUGUAUGAAGAGUAAAUUUUGGAGUUGAUGACACAUAAAUGAUAUACAGUCCUAGUAAAGGAUGAAAUCAUUUAGGGAAGAAAAUAAUCAGGUGUAAAAGCACACCUUUCACAGAGUCUUGAGGAAGUCCAAAAUUAAGAUUUCAGGUGGAUGAUAGAAUAUCUUGGCACUAGAGUCAGAAUUCCCCUGGUAUAGUGACAUAAUAUCUGGUUACAUUUUCACAAUGACACUUAGGAAUAAAUAAUAAGAACACUUUUCAUUUAUAAAGCAAUUGCUAUGGCAGUCACUCUUCCAAGGGUUCCACCUACAGUCGCAUAUAUAAUUCUCACAACAAUCUUAUGUGGCAGGCACUACCAUAGUCACCCCAUUUUAUUGUUGAGGAACCCAAGGUCCUGAGAAGGUAACUAACUUGCCCAAGGUUACACAUGGAGGCAAGAUUCAAACCCAAGCAAAUUGGCUGUAGAGCCUGUACAAAGCUGUGAUGCUAUUUUACCCCUUAAAAUGCACUUUGCAUUUAGGAUGGUGUACUGUCUCAAGUGGUAAAGGUUAUGGAUUAAGGCUACAUUCAAGGGUGCUCAUGAUUUGCCCAUAAGUCUAUCACAGAGCUGACUGCACUGAAGGAUGAGAUCUGAUUCGCCAUAGGGGGAAAGAGAGGCAGAAUGCACAUGAGGUCUCACAGCAAUAUCUGUUCAUCUUGUAAUUUUCCAACCAGUACCCUGAGUUCCAGCCCUAGUGAUGGAGAGGGAGAGAACAGCUUCUCCAUGCUGUCUCCAAGACAGCAGGAAUACAAGGCAGUGUGGCUGGGAGAACCCCUAUAGCUAGUGUCACACAGAGGAGGGUGUCUACUCAUUUCUGCUGGGUCCACAGUGUGGCUCCCCCUGGUCUGCAAGGCUCAGGCACAGUGUCUGUUGCAGAGAAGAAGGCUCUCUGCUUUUGGAUGCUUUGUGAGUUUAGUGGUAGCAGAUCAUGGAGACACUUGGAUUGGUGAUGGCAGCAUGUUUUGUAACUGCUCCAUGGGCUCUGUGUCAACCUUAUAUCAUUCAGAGGAAAACUUCAGCAUGGAUUUUCAGGUUUGGCAGACGAUGUGGGGUAAUGGAACAAGGUAGAGGGAAAGUAACAUGAACCAUGUAUGUCAGUUAUUAAGUUUUUUUUUUUUUUCCAGUUCCAAGUUCACCCUUUUAUACUCGUCUUGUGGUGCUGGACAAGGACUCUGAAACCAUGUCGGCCCCUGGAUGGUUCCAUGGUAGGCUCUGCCAGUAAGCCACUAUGGGGAGACUGCAGAGCUGAUGGAGAAUGUAGACAUGCUCCUUUGUGUUUGCUUCCCUCAAACUCUCUGUCUGCUGGCUGUUCUCAGAGGGCCUGCCUCAGCCUCACUUUUCACCCUGGCAACAACCACACCUGCCUACAGCAGCAGCUGAAUCCAGUUCAAAAUUCGCCAGCCUUUGAAGAAUAAGGCUUCUUUGCCCCACUGAGCCCCCUCCUUAGAGGGGUCUUGGUCUCAGUCUCACGGGCCCUCCUCCAAGCUCAGAUACACCCACCAAUGCUCAGUCCUUCCUGAGAUGUCUGAGAUUCAGCUUCCCAGGAUUCCUUGUAAGUUGUAAUGCUCUAGUCUCUCCCUUUUGUUCCUUGGCUGUUGGGAUGACAGCUGUCUCUUGCAGGCAUUACACCUGUUGUACUAUAGAAAUGUCCUCUUAUCCUUUCAGUUACCUAGUUAAUAGCUAUUUAUCUAGCUAUCACAUCUUUAUACUAAAUUCUCCCACUCAGAUAACUCACAUGGUUUUUGUUUCUUGCUGGCACCCUGGUGGAUAAGCCAUGUGUGUUUAUAAAUCCCUGGGCAGGGAGGAUACUUCCAGAAUGCUUGUGUAUGGAAUUUUAGGAAUACUGUGAUUAUAACCCUAGGCUUGACUUCAGGUUUGAUAUGUCUGGCACACCUGUUCUGAUUUGUGCCUCCUGAAAUCAAGCUCCAUAUUCUGAGCAAACCCACUGGAGGAAUUUCCCACCUGAAAAUAUGGACAAUUAAACUCACUUGACAGAGGGGUUUAAAGUACACACUGGAUUCUCUGUGUGCUGCUUUGUAAUUCUUAGGUGACAGGUAAGAUUUGCUUACACAACAGUAGACUGAAAGGCAGGUGACCUCUGUUCUGGACUUGGUACUUUUAGCUUGACAUAUGACUCUUAACGGGUUAUAUCAUCAUUUUACGUCUGAGAUUUUUUUUUUCACUGAUGUGAAAAUUUUGAGAAGACUUUGAUGGUCUCAUACAGGUCAAAUAUUAUAUGAUUUCUUUCUCAUUUCUUGCUGAAAAUAUUUAAGAAGUGUGGAGACCAUUGUUGAUGGAAGUGUAUGAGACUGUAUUAGUUUUCUAUUGCUGUGUAACAAGCCACUAUAGAAACAAUACCCAUAUAUGAUUUCACAGAUUCUCUGGGUCAGGAGUCCAAGCAUGGUUUUCUGUAUCCUCUGGUCAGGUCAGGGUCUCACCAGGCUGCCAUCUAGGUCUCUUUUGACAGUCGGAGUCCUUUUCCAUUAUCAUUGGUUGUAGGCAGAAUUCAAUUCCUUGUAAUUCUAGGACUGAGGUCCCCUCUUUCUUGCUGGCUGUCAGCUAGGGGGUCAUUCUCAGAUCCUUGAAAUCACUCGCCAUUCCCUGCCCUUGGCCCUCUCCACAACAUGGUAGUUUGCUUCUCUGGGACUGGCAGGAGAAUCUCUCUCACUUCCAAUCUCAUCCUCUAGGAUGGAUCCAGUUUGUUUCAUAGGCUCACCUACCCAGGAUAAUCUCUCUUUUGAUAACUCAUUGUUAACUUAUUUAGGACCUACAUUACAUCUAUAGAAUCCCUUCACCUUUGUCAUAUAAUGUAACCUAAUCAUAAGAAUGAAAUUGGCUCUAUUCACAGACUUGUAUUCAAUAGGAGGAGAGGAGAUAGGCUGUGGACAAGGAGUGAGAAUCUCGGGGGCUACCUUGGAAUUCUGUCUGCUACAGAGACCAGGCACCUACCAAGCUGGGAUGGCUUCAGCCUCCUCAUGUAUUUGUGAUUGUCAUGGUUAAUUUGAAUGUCACUCAUUUGAAUAUGUAGAUUGGAAGCCACUGCAAUCCAAGUGACCUCCUUUUCACCUUCCCCCAAAGUAGACCACAGCUGCUCUGGAACUGAUCUGCAAGACCACACACUGUGCAGUUGCUUUGGCAACCAACACAUAUUCUGUCCCAUUUGAGCGCUAGUUGAAAUGGUUUCUGCAAUGGCAUCGCUACGCAGAGUUGGAACUAAAAUGUCACAGCGUGCUAAAACCCCAGAUGUGGCAGACACUCAAAUCCAGUGAUUACCUGAAGAGCCAGUGUGAGCCUUUGUGCCAUACCCAAACCUCUUCAAGACUAAGCCUUGAUCUUGAUGUCAGUUUGUAAGACUAACACUUUGAUGGAGGUGAGAGACUCAUGUAUGAAUAGUGAUGGAGGAGCCAUGGAGCUAGAAGUUCUAGAUCCCAUAUAUUGUGGAAUUUUGGUGUAAUAAUUGGAGUUCAGGCUAAGUUUGAAGUCGACACCCCCUGACUAAGCAGAACACUGACAAGAUGUGACAUCUCUGCCAACUUGAGGAUCUACUUUGGCCUGGGAAAAUUGGAAGAGACCUUGUAAUGGAAGCGAGGACACCAAGAAGUAUAACAAAAGAUAUCUGGAUGAGGUGAGUUGGUCACUCUGUUAGGUUGGGAUACUCUCAUUUCAGAAAGAAGUGAUACGGAGGCUUUGGUGUCAGCAAUAGCAUGAACAUAGACUAGCUGGGUUUCUGCUUCAUCUCUACAGGAAGCUGGUCAUUUUUGCCCCAGUGAGCUCUGGAGGUGAAAUCAAGAACUCUUACCACUCUAGGAUGGUGGUGCUUUGAGAACCCAAGUAAUAUUGCUUUGUGACUCUCUUUCCAGCAUUCGUUCCUUUUAUUCUCUCUUUUAAUUAAAAUGCAAGGAGCUGGUCCCUACCUUGGUAACUGUACUGUGCAAAUAAAGAAUAUAUAGAUAUAGAUAUAUAUUAAAAUCAUUCACAUUUAUAAAAUUAUGCUCUGAAGACAGCAGUUAAAAGGGAAAGCUUGUUGUCCUAUUUCAGAAUUCUGGUAAAAGAAGCACAGAAUACCCAGUUAAGGUAAAUAUUUUAGUUCUAUUAAUUAGUUUUUCCUAUAAAAUGAGAAAAGCUCAUAGGUGAAAUAUAGUAGUCAUAUCAGUAAAUAUUUACAAAGUUUCUGCUCAGCCACAUUAGACAAAGGAUCCCAAAUAUCCUUUGUCCUAUAAUUCUUAAAUUUUGUAUAGUUUUACCAAAUGAGAAAAAUGGCCCAAUUUUGAUCAUUUCUUCUUCUAUAGCUUCUAGAAAUGACCAUUUUGCUGGAAUGUGUUCCUAGAAAUCAAUAAUGCUGUGAAACCUGUUUUCCCAUAAACAAUAUUAGAGUUCAAAAUCAUAUUUCUUAUUCAGGUUUCAGUAAUAUAUAAACCUAUAAAUUAAACCCAAAACAUAAAAUCAGGGAUAGCUAACCAUCACUAUAAAUAUUCAAUAAUUGACUUUCAUUUUUAGAAAAAGAAAUAGAUUAUUAUAUUACAUACAAGAGCUAGCAAUAUAUUUUCAUUUCAUAGGUCUGUAAUUGUCAAAAAAUGGCAAUUUCCUAUGGUUUAACCUAUUAUAUAUAAUUUACAUGAAGUUCACAAAGCAGAAUUUUGGUAGGUUAUAAAUUUGGCCACAACCAGUAUAUUAGCUCAAACAUGGGUUUGAAAUGUAUUUAAUAAUAACCUUGCCUGCCUGAUUUGGGAAUGUACUUUUUAGGAUAAUUUGGAUGGAAGUCCUGGGAAAUGUGUAUGUAUUUCUUUUUUCACCCUUAAAUUUUUUCCUGUAAUAAUAGAGCAUCAGAAAUCAUCCCAUUAGCCUCAGGUUUGUGCCCAAAGUAUGAGGGAAACAAUUGAUAUUGUGGAUGAAGUUUUGAUGAUUCUUUUAUUUACAAUAAUAUAUUUGAAAGUAAGGGUUAGUAAAAAGAACAAUUAAAUAAGUACAUAAAGCUAUGGCAAUAUAAAUAUUUAUUAAAGCACUAUUUAGUAUAGUGAAAAGUAGGAAAAACAUAAAUGCCUGAAAGAAAGGAUUAGCUAAAUACAUUACAGUACAAAGGGAAAUUUUAUAGACAUUGAAAAUAAUGUUGUAGGGGCACCUGGGUGGCUCAGUUAGUUAAGCGUCCAACUUUGGCUCAGGUCAUGAUCUUGCGGUUUAUGAGUU